GUGUCUGUAGCCUAGUGGUAAAAGGCAGCACUCUAGAUGCUGAGGUAGUGGGUUCAAAUCCCACCAGACACA
rnacentral:tRNA from 1 species